rnacentral:rRNA from 1 species
GUGCAGCAGGCGAGAAUACUUUACAAUGCGGGAAACCGUGAUAAGGGAAUCUCGAGUGCCAGCAUAUAAUGUUGGCUGUCCAGAUGCCUAAAAAGCAUCUGUUAGCAAGGGCCGGGCAAGACCGGUGCCAGCCGCCGCGGUAACACCGGCGGCCCGAGUGGUAACCGCUUUUAUUGGGUCUAAAGGGUCUGUAGCCGGCCAAGUAAGUCCCUUGGGAAAUCUGGCAGCUUAACUGUCAGGCUGCUAGGGGAUACUGCUGGGCUUGGGACCGGGAGAGGUGAGAGGUACCUUGGGGGUAGGGGUGAAAUCUUGUGAUCCUCGGGGGACCACCAGUGGCGAAGGCGUCUCACCAGAACGGGUCCGACGGUAAGGGACGAAAGCUAGGGGCACGAACCGGAUUAGAUACCCCGGUAGUCC